AUAGACGUUUCGGCAUCCAAUUGCAUUCAGUAAAUCCUUGUACCACUUCCUCUAGAGUCUUCUUUUGCUGUCAUAGCGAUUGGAAAUUGAUAAUCCACAAGUUACAUCGAUGCUUGAUAGCUUGAUGGAUCUAAGUUGUCAGCCUAUCUGUAUGUUAGUUCUGUUUCACUUUCACUAGUUUAUACAUAUGGGCUACCAUCUUGGAAAUCUUGUCCCAUUUCUGACCUUUGCAUUAUCGGCUAUAAAUGGUUUCACCUUCUUGUGCUGUUCCUUGGGCAUGUGGCUUGUACUAAGCUAUAAGUUGGAUAUUCUGCUUAACAAAAGGCCAAGCAGAAGAAUGAAUUCUCAUUCUUAUGUCACAUAUAGCUGGAUUGGAGCUUUUGUCAUUGUUUUUCUGCUAUAAUUUUAAAAACCUAAAAAAGAAGUCUUUAUUGGUAGAUGAUCUGUCUCGCAAAUAAGGAAGAAAUAACUAAUGGGAUUGCAGAAAUGUUACAAAAGAACCUGGUUGAUAGUUGGAUCUGGCACAUGUUGAGAUUGCUAGAUCUGUUCUUAAACUGUUUCAAGAGUUAGAGUCCAUGCAACAAAGCAAGCCACUAGGCUGGUAAUCUUUAGAUUUCAUGAUUCCCCUUUCAUGUGUAUGCCCGUCUGGCCCAUGAAUCUUAUUUUUUUGGUGAAACCAUUUCGGGGUCUUUGAUCCUGCCAUGGAUUAAAUGUUAAUCCUACUGAGAGAUGGCAACAUAUUUAUUGAUUUGUUAUCUUAAGAAUUCUUAAGGUGAUGUAUGGGGCAUGCCAUGCCCAGAAUCCAGUUUUUCUACUUCAGGUUUUUUGCUGAUGCUUUCUUUUAGAACAGGGACUGACACUUUUUUAGAAUUGGCUCUUCCCCCUUCUUCCCUUCUCAUUUGGGUUAACAUAUCUGAUCUACAGGUGUAUCUUGUUUUUAGUUUCUAUUCUACUCUGUCAAUUUGGAACUUUUUGGGCAUAAAGCAUUUGUUCCAAAACCACUAGGCUUGACAGGAAUUGUCUACCAAACUAUAUCUGCUCAUAAAGCAGAAAUUCUAUGCUUUCGCCCCUAACAAGCCGAGAUAGAAACUGGGAGAAUAAGAAAGCUGACUAGGGCUGCGAAUGGGGAGGUCGGAUAAUGGUCUUACCCCCUUCUAGUCAUUAGAAACCUCUUACGCUUACUCUAGGUAUUUUAAGAAAUGCCAUUACCCAGUGGGUAAAACCUAUUUUCAAAUCAGAUUCCACACAUUUUCUCAAUGCACAUGAUAAUUAUUUUCCAAUAUAUAUAGAAUACUACGCUAUAUCUUAAUAAAACCUGAUAAA